rnacentral:rRNA from 1 species
AUUGAACGCUGGCGGCAGGCUUAACACAUGCAAGUCGAACGAGUGGCGGACGGGUGAGUAAUGUCUGGGAAACUAGCUUAUGGAGGGGGAUAACUACUGGAAACGGUAGCUAAUACCGCGUACCAUCAGAUGAGCCCAAAUGGGAUUAGGUAGUUGGUGGGGUAACGGCUCACCCAGGCGACGAUCCCUAGCUGGUCUGAGAGGAUGACCAGCCAAACUGGGACUGAGACACGGUCCAGACUCCUACGGGAGGCAGCAGUGGGGAAUAUUGCACAAUGGGGGCAAGCCUGACGCAGCCAUGCCGCGUGUAUGAAGAAGGCCUUCGGGUUGUAAAGUACUUUCGGUAGGGAGGCGUUACCCGCAGAAGAAGCACCGGCUAACUCCGUGCCAGCAGCCGCGGUAAUAC